UUAGUACGUGGACGUAGACCCGAAACCGGGUGAUCUACCCCUGUCCAGGGUGAAGGUGCGGUAACACGCACUGGAGGCCCGAACCCACGCAUGUUGAAAAAUGCGGGGAUGAGGUGGGGGUAGCGGAGAAAUUCCAAUCGAACUCGGAGAUAGCUGGUUCUCCCCGAAAUAGCUUUAGGGCUAGCCUCGGAAAACAGAGUCGUGGAGGUAGAGCACUGAUUGGGUGCGGGGCCCGCAAGGGUUACCAAGCUCAGUCAAACUCCGAAUGCCAUAGACUUACUUCCGGGAGUCAGACAGUGAGUGCUAAGAUCCAUUGUCAAAAGGGAAACAGCCCAGACCAUCAGCUAAGGUCCCCAAGUGUGUGUUAAGUGGGAAAGGAUGUGGAGUUGCACAGACAACCAGGAUGUUGGCUUAGAAGCAGCCACCAUUGAAAGAGUGCGUAAUAGCUCACUGGUCGAGUGACUCUGCGCCGAAAAUGUAACGGGGCUAAACACACCACCGAAGCUAUGGCUUGAUGCUUUGCAUCAGGGGUAGGGGAGCGUUGUAUAAGGGUUGAAGGUGUACCGUAAGGAGCGCUGGACAUUAUACAAGUGAGAAUGCCGGUAUGAGUAACGAAAAGAUCAGUGAGAAUCUGAUCCGCCGAAAGCCUAAGGGUUCCUGAGGAAGGCUCGUCCGCUCAGGGUAAGUCGGGACCUAAGGCGAGGCCGAAAGGCGUAGUCGAAGGACAACAGGUCGAAAUUCCUGUACCACC
rnacentral:rRNA from 1 species